CGGCUAACUCCGUGCCAGCAGCCGCGGUAAUACGGAGGGUGCGAGCGUUAAUCGGAAUUACUGGGCGUAAAGGGCACGCAGGCGGUUAAUUAAGUUGGAUGUGAAAUCCCCGGGCUUAACCUGGGAAUGGCAUUCAAGACUGGUUAGCUAGAGUCUUGUAGAGGGGGGUAGAAUUCCAUGUGUAGCGGUGAAAUGCGUAGAGAUGUGGAGGAAUACCGGUGGCGAAGGCGGCCCCCUGGACAAAGACUGACGCUCAUGUGCGAAAGCGUGGGGAGCAAACAGGAUUAGAUACCCUGGUAGUCCACGCUGUAAACGAUGUCGAUUUGGAGGUUGUGGUCAUGAACUGUGGCCUCCGGAGCUAACGCGUUAAAUCGACCGCCUGGGGAGUACGGCCGCAAGGCUAAAACUCAAAUGAAUUGACGGGGGCCCGCACAAGCGGUGGAGCAUGUGGUUUAAUUCGAUGCAACGCGAAAAACCUUACCUACUCUUGACAUCCAGCGAAUCCUUUAGAAAUAGAGGAGUGCCUUCGGGAGCGCUGAGACAGGUGCUGCAUGGCUGUCGUCAGCUCGUGUUGUGAAAUGUUGGGUUAAGUCCCGCAACGAGCGCAACCCUUAUCCUUUGUUGCCAGCG
rnacentral:rRNA from 1 species